rnacentral:rRNA from 1 species
AAAGUCUGACCUGCCCUAUGAUAAUAAAAUUAUUAAAUGGCCGCGAUUUUUUGAUCGUGCAAAGGUAGCAUAAUAAUUAGUUUUUUAAUUGAGAACUGGUAUGAAAGGUCGAACGAGAAAAAAACUGUCUCAAUUUAAAUUUAAUUAGAAUUUUAUUUUUAAGUAAGAAAGCUUAAAUAUAUUUAAAAGACGAGAAGACCCUAUAGAGUUUUAUAUUUAUUGAAAUUUAAAAAAUUUAAGAAUUUUAAUUUUAUUGUUUUUUAAUAAAUAUUUGGUUGGGGCGAUUGGAAAAUUAAAUAAACUUUUCUUUAUUUUUAACAUUGAUAUAUGAUUAAUUGAUCCA